rnacentral:rRNA from 1 species
UCUGGUUGAUCCUGCCAGUAGUCAUAUGCUUGUCUCAAAGAUUAAGCCAUGCAUGUCUAAGUAUAAAUAGUAUACAGUGUAACUGCAAAUGGCUCAUUAAAACAGUUAUAGUUUAUUUGAUAAUUGAAGGCUACAUGGAUAACCGUGGUAAUUCUAGAGCUAAUACAUGCUAUCAGGCCCAACUUCGUAGAAGGGUUGUAUUUAUUAGAUAUAAGCCAAUAUUCCUUCGGGUCUAUUGCGGUGAUUCACAAUAACUGAUCGAAUCUCUUUUAGAGAUAAAUCAUUCGAGUUUCUGCCCUAUCAGCUUUCGAUGCUUAGGUAUUGACUAAAGCAUGGCUUUAACGGGUAACGGAGAUUCAGGGUUCGAUUCCGGAGAGGGAGCCUGAGAAACGGCUACCACAUCUAAGGAAGGCAGCAGGCGCGUAAAUUACCCAAUCCUGAUUAAGGGAGGUAGUGACAAGAAAUAACAAACAGGGGAUUUUUCAAAUCUUACUGUAUUGCAAUGAGGAAAAUUUAAAAACCUUAUCGAGAAACAAGUGGAGGGCAAGUCUGGUGCCAGCAGCCGCGGUAAUUCCAGCUCCACUAGCGUAUAUUAAAAUUGUUGCAGUUAAAAAGCUCGUAGUUGAACCUCUGACUGUGUCUAGUUCUGGUUUUCAAUCAAGCUAGGUGCAGUCAUCCAUCUGCAGGUUCACCUACAGAUACCUUGUUACGACUUCUUCUUCUUCCAAAUGCAUUGGUUUACAUAACUUCCCGGCUUAGGUCAAGCCUAGCACAGUCCAGAAGGUUCACCGGAGCAUUCGUCAGUAGAAGCGACGGGCGGUGUGUACAAAAGGCAGGGACCGAUUCAGUACAAGCUGAUGACUUGCACUUACAAGGUAUUCCUCGUUCAAGAUCUAUAAUUGCAAAGAUCUAUCCCUAUCACGAUGCAUAUUCUCAAGAUUACCCGAAACCUUUUCAGGCCAGGAAAACUUUCUGAAUGCAUCAUUGUAGAACGCGUGCGGCCCAGGAUGUCUAGGGGCAUCACAGACCUGUUAUUGCCACCAACUUCCUUGGAAUUGAAAUUCCAAAGUCCCUCUAAGAAGAGCACGCGAUUGACAUCACGUGUCUAGUAAGCAGGUAAUGGUCUCGUCGCGUUAUCGCAAUUAAGCAGACAAAUCACUCCACGAACUAAGAACGGCCAUGCACCACCACCCAUUGAAUCAAGAAAGAGCUCUCAAUCUGUCAAUCCCACUAAUGUUUUAACCUGGUAAGUUUCCCCGUGUUGUGUCAAAUUAAGCCGCAGGCUCCACACCUUGUGUGCCCUUCCGUCAAUUCCUUUAAGUUUCAGUCUUGCGACCAUACUCCCCCCGGAACCGUAACUUUGAUUUCUC